GUGCCAGCAGCCGCGGUAAUACGUAGGGUGCGAGCGUUGUCCGGAAUUAUUGGGCGUAAAGAGCUCGUAGGCGGUUUGUCACGUCUGCUGUGAAAUCCCGAGGCUCAACCUCGGGCCUGCAGUGGGUACGGGCAGACUGGAGUGCGGUAGGGGAGAUUGGAAUUCCUGGUGUAGCGGUGGAAUGCGCAGAUAUCAGGAGGAACACCGAUGGCGAAGGCAGAUCUCUGGGCCGUAACUGACGCUGAGGAGCGAAAGCGUGGGGAGCGAACAGGAUUAGAUACCCCAGUAGUCC
rnacentral:rRNA from 1 species